rnacentral:rRNA from 1 species
CGCCUCUUGCAAACAAACAUGUAUAAGAGGUAUCGCCUGCCCAGUGACAAUUGUUCAACGGCCGCGGUAUUCUGACCGUGCAAAGGUAGCGUAAUCAUUUGUCUUUUAAAUAAAGACCAGUAUGAACGGCACCACGAGGGCUCAACUGUCUCCCCUGUCUAAUCAGUGAAAUUGAUUUCCCAGUGCAGAAGCUGGGAUAAUAACAUAAGACGAGAAGACCCCAUGGAGCUUAAGACACAAAAGCAUCUGCCUCCCAAUAGUCUUAUAGCAGCCAUGACUUUCUGUCUUCGGUUGGGGCGACCACGGAGAAAAAUAAUCCUCCGAGCCGAACGGGGCACACACCACCCCCUAACCAAGAGCCACAACUCCAAGUAAUAGGACCUCUAACGGAAUCUGAUCCAAA